CCCUUCUUCUUCCUGGUCUAUAAAUGCUAUCCACCACUCCUUUCCAUGAGAACAAGAUCAGGGGAGACGAGACGACCCUUGCCCUCCUCCUCCUUCUUCUUCUUCUUCUUCUUCACUUCUUCAGUAGUUCAUCACCAGCCGGCCAGGCAAGAUGUACGACGCCCCAUCCGCGCAGGAGAUGUCCUACUACGACCAUGUGCAGAGGCGCCACGAGGAGAAGGGCUGCCUCUACGCAUGCAUCUUCACGGCGCUGUGCUGCUUCUGCUGCUACGAGACCUGCGAGUGCUGCCUCGACUGCCUCUGCUGCUGCUGCAACUAGGCCGCCGCCUGCCUGCAGCUCCACAAGGCCGGAUGGAGAUGAGGAAGUUUCAGUAGCCUGCUUGAUUGCUUUACUCUGGUUGCGAAGAACAUAAUAAACCAUGUCGUAGUUAUUCUGUCAGUAUGAGCGAGCAUUCGUGUGUCCUGAACAAAGAUUCUACUGGUACUGUAACCAUGGUUUGAACCGCCGCAUCGUAUUGUUAGCAUCUCGUUCCGAUUCUAAAGUCACCGUAUUUGUUCGAGUAAAUUUUAUCUGUACAGCCCA